rnacentral:rRNA from 1 species
GACGAACGCUGGCGGCGUGCCUAAUACAUGCAAGUCGAGCGAAGUUUUUCUGGUGCUUGCACUAGAAACACUUAGCGGCGAACGGGUGAGUAACACGUAAAGAACCUGUCUCAUAGACUGGGACAACUAUUGGAAACGAUAGCUAAUACCGGAUAACAGUAUUUCUCGCAUGAGAGAUAUUUAAAAGUUGGUUAUGCUAACACUAUGAGAUGGCUUUGCGGUGCAUUAGCUAGUUUGUGGGGUAAAGGCCCACCAAGGCGACGAUGCAUAGCCGACCUGAGAGGGUGAUCGGCCACACUGGGACUGAGACACGGCCCAGACUCCUACGGGAGGCAGCAGUAGGGAAUCUUCCGCAAUGGGCGAAAGCCUGACGGAGCAACGCCGCGUGAGUGAAGAAGGAUUUCGGUUCGUAAAGCUCUGUUGUUAGGGAAGAAUGGAUACGUAGUAACUAUACAUGUAAGAGACGGUACCUAACCAGAAAGCCACGGCUAACUACGUG